AUUGAACGCUGGCGGCAGGCCUAACCCAUGCAAGUCGAGCGGAGCGGCGGACGGGUGAGUAAUGCCUAGGAAUCUGCCUGGGAGUGGGGGAUAACGGCCGGAAACGGGCGCUAAUACCGCAUCCUAUCAGAUGAGCAUAGGUCGGAUUAGCUAGUUGGUGGGGUAAAGGCCUACCAAGGCGACGAUCAGUAACGGGUCUGAGAGGAUGAUCAGUCACAUGGGAACUGAGACACGGUCCAGACUCCUACGGGAGGCAGCAGUGGGGAAUAUUGGACAAUGGGCGAAAGCCUGAUCCAGCCAUGCCGCGUGUGUGAAGAAGGCCUUCGGGUUUUAAAGCACUUUCAGCGGGGAGGCGUUACCCGCAGAAGAAGCACCGGCUAACUCCGUGCCAGCAGCCGCGGUAAUUC
rnacentral:rRNA from 1 species